GCUGCAGUUAGCUGAGAUUGUGCCACUGCACUUCAGCCUUGGCAACAGAGCAAGACUCUAUCUCCAAAAAAAGAAAUGUAUGAGUAGUUAGGAAAUAAAGGUGACAUGAACUAAUUGUUCAAUCAUGAAUGGAUAGAAAAAAAUGAAAAUGUAACGAGAUAGGAUCCGGGUCAAAGUCAGGGGAGGUAUAGCUGAAGAUAUUGAAGGAGUCAUUAUGAUAUUAAAGAAAAUGGAAGGAAACGGUAUCCAGAUAGGUUAUCCUUGGAGAGUGUCCAGGGACAUCUCUUUUCCUAAGACCUUAGAGAAGGAAAGGAUGGCUGAUAAUAUAGGGAAAAGUUGACAUGGAAGGAUGAAAGAAUUUUUUGAGAAUUCACAUAAGGAUUGAUAAUCUGAAUUUUCAGGGCUAGGUUCAGAAGCAGAAAUAAAAAAGCAAAACAAAUAUGCUUUGGCUAACACAGAGUUGGAAAUGGGAAGACAUGUAAGAUGGACCAGCAGGCAUGGUAACCAUGGAUGCUAAUGAGACUGUGAUUGAAAUGAUUGGCUGUGGAGUUCACACUGGAGAGGAGAGGCCUGACCAGACCAUGAGAAUAAGCAGGCUGAAUGGUACAGGUGAGGUACCCCAUAAAGGGGGAGGACACUUUUAGUGGUUGAGGUGGAUCUUGUGGUCAAAGAAGAGAUUUCAGUUUGAAAUCUUAGAAGGGGAGCAAUUCCCAGUGAUGAUGAUGGCUAAAUUUGAGUAAAAAUAGAAGGCACCAAGUCAUCUGACUUGGAGAAUUCUGAGUCUUUGAGGAGUCUCACUUGUUUGGAUGACUCAUGGAUGUGGCUUAUGCAUGUUACUGGCUUGGCAGCCCUUAGCAUGUUACAGAUAGGGAUGAUGAUGCUAGAUGGUAAACUUCAGUAGAGUUUGUUGGUUCACUUAAAGAAUUUGCUUAACAUGUGAGACCAAACUAUUCAGCUGCCAUUUAGCAAUAUUUAAGUGACUCAGGUUGGAUGAUAUUACUGUCCUCUGUCCUCAAGGAGCUAAAGGACUGUGGCAAAGCUUAUAGGUUAGAAAGGCAAAUGUAUAAUUUGAAUACAAUAUAGAAAUAAUAGAAAUAACUACGCUAAGGUGGGAGUAAUCAACCAGAGAGCGGUCAUUACACUUGAUCUGAAUGAUGACUCGCUGGGCUGGAAAGGAUAAUAAAGACAUUUCAGGAAGAGGAAAGAACAAUUGUAAAGAUGCAGAUACGUUUAUUUCAAGAAUACAAGUUAAAAUUUAAUUUCUUAUUUAUUGAAGGAACCACAAAUAAUUUGCCUGGCUGAAGCAUAUGGUGUGUGGGGUGAAGUGAUGAGGGAUGAAGUUGGACAGAGAGGCAAGGAACAACUGGUACCCAACCUUGAGUGCCGUGCACAGGAACUUGGACAUUUCCCUCCAGGCCAGUGGUCUUCAAAGAGGAAUGUGGGCUUGCAAAGCAUGAGGAGAAGAGAGGAAACUGAAACUUUUUGUUUUUUUAUGUCAUCCUUUUAAAUGUCAGUUUUCUGUAUAUUAUGUAAUAGAACAGGAAUUCAUGCCUAUGUCAGGAGUGCAUGAUCAAAAAGAGCUCAGAGGUUAUUGUUGUAGCUGAUAGAGUCCGGACAGGGAGUGGGUUAUCCCCGAGGGUUUCAAUCAGGGUAGAAGGAUCAGAUUUGCAUUUUAAAGCAAGUUUUCUGGAAUCAUAUAGGAGAUAGGUUAGAGAAGAGCAGGUCUAGAUUAAAAGAGAUCAGUUGGGAAACUAUUAGAUUUGAAUUAAGGCAUUGCUAGAAUGGAGAGAAAGACACAGAUUCAAGAAACUGAGUAGAAUAAAAAAUCACUGUAUUGUUCCUUUUUAUUGCUGAAUUAAUACUUCAUUGUAUGAAUAGACCCCAUUUUGUUUAUCCACUCACCAGCUGAUGGACAUUUGGAUUGUUUCCAGGUUUUGCCUAUUUUGAAUAAUGCUGCCAUCAACUUUCUUAUGCAAGUCUUUGUGUUGACAUACAUUUUUAUUUAUCUUGGGUAUAUAGCUAAGAGUAGAAUAUAUGGAUUAUAUGACAACUUUGUGUUUAACUCUUUGAGAAACUGCUGAACUGUUUUCUAGAAUGGCUGUACCAUUUUACGUUCCUGUCAGCAGUGUGUGAGGACUGCAGUUUCUCCUCAUCCCCGACAUCACUAGUUAGCUCUUAUGUUUAGGUCUAUGAUCCAUUUUCAGUUAAGCCUUGUGUUCGUGUGAGUUGAAAGUCCACCUUCAUUUUUUUACACAUCGAUGUUCAGUUGUCUCAGAACCAUUUUUUGGCAGACCUUGGGGCUCUAGGCUGCACAGGCCCCAAGUCUCCCUCACAAGCCUCAGAACUAUUUUUUGAAAAGAGCUUCCUUUCCCCAUUGAAUUGCUUUGGCACCUUUGUGGGAAACCAGUGACCAUAAUGUAAGAAUUUUUUUCUGAACUCUCCACUCUGUUCCUUAUUGCCAGUGCCACACUGCCUUGACUACUGUAGCUUCGUAGUAAGAUGUGAAAUUGGGAAGUCUAAGUCCUCCAACCUAGUUCUUUUUAAAAUUGGUUUGACUAUUUAAGGUCCUUUGUCUUUCCAUAUAAAUUUUAGGAUCAUUUUGACAAUUCUAACAAAGAACAGAGCCUUCUGAGACUUUAAUAGGGAUGGUUGUGUUGCAUGUAUAGGUCAAUUUGGGGAAAGUUGUCAUCUUAAUGAUAGUGAGUCUUUCAAUCCAUGCACAUGGAAUGUAUCCCUAUUUAUUUAAGUCAUCUUCAGUUUUUCUAAGCAGUUUUGUUGUUUUCAGUAUGUAAAUCUUAAAUUUAUUCCUUAAUAUUUCAUUCUUAUUGAGUGAAUUUCAUCAGGAGCAUGUUAAAUUUGCAGUAUCUGUAAGACGUUAUAGGUGGAAGAGUCCAGUGGGCGGUUGAACCUCAGGAGAAAGAUCUGAGCUAGAUUUGAAAGUAGCCAGCAUGUAGGUGGGAAUGGAAGCCCGGAAUUUGAAUGACGUUGCCCACAAACAACAGGGCAGAAUGAAAAAAAGAUGACAAUGCAUAGAAAUCUAGGAAGCAGCAACAUUCACCAGACAGGCACGAGAAGAGAGCUAGUUGCUGAUAGUGGAGGCCAAGAGGCAAAGAGGAAAAUGUGAUAAGGAGAACAUUUCAAGGACAUGUCAAGAAGCAGUGUCGUAUUGUUGUGGAGAAGGCAAACUGAAAUGUAGCCUGAGAAGCUAAUGGGUGAUCUUAAUGAGGACACUUUCAGCAGCAUGGUUUUGUGUAUGUGGGGGCUGGGGGUGGAAACCAGAUGGCAGAGGAUUGGAAUGAGUGGACUGUUCUGCCUUGUUCACCAGUGUGACUCAGGUGCUUGGCACUUUGGUGCUUAUUAAAUAUUUAAGUGAAUGAGGAAGUAGAGACAAUACUUUCAAAAGCUAAGGCUAAAGGAAGGAAAGAAGAGUAGUUAGAGGAGAGAGUUAGGUUGAAGGAAGGAUUUCUUUUUUUUUUAAUUUUGGGAGGAAGUUGAGUAUAUUUCUAUGAAAAAGGAACAGAAGCUGUAGAGAGGGAGAGGUUGAAGAUACAGUGAGAGUGGCUGAUUGAUGGAGCUGUGAUUCAGAGGAGACCAGCAGGAGUGGGAUUUAGACCAUACUAUUUUCAAAAAGGAAAAGAUUGUGGAGAAGUGUUUGUAACUCUUAGAAUUGAUGAUUUAAGAUACUUAUUAAAAAUAUACAGCACAUUCCAAGCCAGUGGUUAGUGUUGCUGAAUUUGAAAAAACCUUUAGGCUAAUGCUACCUUAAAAAUGAGGUGGGGGAAAAUUAUAGAUGCCUUGUGUGUUAUGAAAUGAACUAUAUUUUUAGCUUUUAUGUUACUACUUUCAAACAGCAAGAUUUCAUCUCUCUUUUGCUGUGUUAUUAAAGCAUCUUUGUACCUAGAUGAUAAAUUCAUAUGGAUUUAGUAUAUUUUCAGCCUUCCCUCCCCUCCAUUUUGAGCUGCAUUUGGUAUGGUCCCAGACCGGUGCAUACAUCCUUGCACACUAGAGCCCCUGAGAGCUUGCAUUUUGCUUUUACAGAGGCAGUAGAUUCCAAUGUAUGUCUGCUUCAGCCAUCAGCAAAAAAACUAACAGGCUUACUACAAUUUCUUUGGAAAAACCUUCUGGCUUCAGCCUCACUUCCUUUGUUCUACAUCCCAGAAGAUGCACGUGAGGGCAGCUGCCUGGUAACUGGAGGCUUCACUUGACCAGCACUGAGCUUCUGUUCACUCAUUCAGGUCUCACAUCCAUGUCAUCUCCAGGACUCACCGAAAAUAGUCAGAGGGAUCCCUCUGAACUAGAAGCAG